rnacentral:rRNA from 1 species
AUUGAACGCUGGCGGCAGGCUUAACACAUGCAAGUCGAGCGGGGGAGGUUGCUUCGGUAACUGACCUAGCGGCGGACGGGUGAGUAAUGCUUAGGAAUCUGCCUAUUAGUGGGGGACAACAUCUCGAAAGGGAUGCUAAUACCGCAUACGUCCUACGGGAGAAAGCAGGGGACCUUCGGGCCUUGCGCUAAUAGAUGAGCCUAAGUCGGAUUAGCUAGUUGGUGGGGUAAAGGCCUACCAAGGCGACGAUCUGUAGCGGGUCUGAGAGGAUGAUCCGCCACACUGGGACUGAGACACGGCCCAGACUCCUACGGGAGGCAGCAGUGGGGAAUAUUGGACAAUGGGGGGAACCCUGAUCCAGCCAUGCCGCGUGUGUGAAGAAGGCCUUUUGGUUGUAAAGCACUUUAAGCGAGGAGGAGGCUACUGGUAUUAAUACUACCGGAUAGUGGACGUUACUCGCAGAAUAAGCACCGGCUAACUCUGUGCCAGCAGCCGCCGUAUAC